rnacentral:lncRNA from 1 species
GUGAAAGAACGUGGCUUUCUUAAGACAGAAAGUAGCACUGAGAGCCCUUUGUCGUCCUCAGCUGGCUCAACAGCAGACAGACCUUUCUCAUCAAAUCCCUCUACUGGCAGAGAUGAGACUGCCAAUAUACAUUCAGUUCCAGGGCUCCGGCCUGAACCCAGAAAAUCACAUGGUUCGAACUCCAGUGUCUCUUCUAAGAAUGAAG